rnacentral:rRNA from 1 species
CUCAGGAUGAACGCUGGCGGCGUGCUUAAUACAUGCAAGUCGAACGAAGCGCUUACAGCCGAUCCCUUCGGGGUGAAGCAGUUUGUGACUUAGUGGCGGACGGGUGAGUAACGCGUGGGUAACCUGCCUUAUGCAGGGGGAUAACAGUUAGAAAUGACUGCUAAUACCGCAUAAGCGCACAGCACCGCAUGGUGGAGUGUGAAAGGAUUUAUCGGCAUAAGAUGGACCCGCGUCUGAUUAGGUAGUUGGUGAGGUAACGGCCCACCAAACCUACGAUCAGUAGCCGACUUGAGAGAGUGAUCGGCCACAUUGGGACUGAGACACGGCCCAGACUCCUACGGGAGGCAGCAGUAGGGAAUAUUGCACAAUGGGGGAAACCCUGAUGCAGCGAACCGCCGCGUGAGUGAUUGAAGCAUUUCGGUGCGUAAAGCUCUAUCAGCAGGGAAGAUAAUGACGGUACCUGACUAAGAAGCCCCGGCUAACUACGUGCCAGCAGCCGC